AAUGAUUUGCCUGGCACAUUUUCACAUCAAUUAAAUAAGAGAGACAAGAUCUCUUCGUUGCUGUUAAGCUCUACUCUGUUACUAAGGAAGUGAAUGGUUUCCAAGGAAAUUGUUCAUUAUAGCACAACACUCAGGCGGGGACUUGAGAUCACUUCACAAGCGCUUCAGACAAUUACAUCUCAUGAGAAGACAAGACAACUGUCCCAGGGUCAUGUGAUCACCUUUUACAACCUGACAAGCAAUAUCAUUGGGGAAGCCAGAUUCACUUAACAACUGUGUAAUCAACUUAACAACUGCAGUGAUUCACUUAAAACUGUGGCAAGGAAGGUCUUAACAUGGAGCAAAAUUUACUUAACAAUUAUCUCGCUUAGCAAUGGAAAUUUUGGGCUCAAUUAUGGUCGUAAGGGACAAGAUAACACUACCUCAAGCCAAACGUAACUCCUGGAAAUUUCAUGGAGAUCUCCAUGUACUGUUCUUGGUAACAGUGUAAAAAUGGUUCGUUGCUCUUCCUGUUUAGGAAAAAGGAGGGAUGAGUCAAUGGGUCAAUGGAUGGGUGGCCUAUUGCUACAGAAUUUUGCGAGUUGGGGAAUCUUGUAACCUUCCCUACGUUGAUGCCUUCCAGAUGUGAAACUGAAAUUUCUAUAGAGUGUUUCUCAGCCCCUGUAUCUUUUAAGAUGUAUGGCGUUCAACUGGCUGGGGAAUUCUGGAAAUUGAAAUCCCCAUGUCUUAAAGUUGAUCAGGUUGAGAAACACUGCUUUAGAGUGAAGUCUGAGGGAAAUAAAAGAUUCUAAAAUGUUUGAUCAGUGGUUAAAGAAAACAGAAGUGAAGGAGACCUUUACAGAUCAUUAGAAAAAAAGAAAGAAAAAGUAAAGCUUAGGUAAACUUUCAAAGCAUCAGUUCAUCUCAUCUGCCUUUGUCAUUAUUUCAUUUCUUUUGAGAAAGGAAGAUCACAAUACAUCUUUUUAAGCACUAGCUACAGUAUUAAUAUAGGUAGAAAAAGAAGUAAUAAUUUUCCAUUGGGAGAGGUUCAGGCUGUAGUAAAUCAGUAGUAAAUCACUUUGCUUAUUCACAUUCAAUUUGUGUAGAUAGGCAUGCAUAGCAUGUGGAGACUUUGCCACUAGUAAUUUGUCCAUAUUUGGCAUAUGGUCUUUAAAUAUUCUCCAAAAAUAGCUGACAAAUUGUCCAGUUUAUAAGAACGAAGGGAGAAAUUAUUAAAUACACGUGAAGUAGCUAUAGUCAGCAUAUUUAAAUCAAUUAAUUUAAUAUAGUUUGUCCUAAUUCUUUCACUUUAUUUAAAUCUACUAGUCUGAUAAAGACCAAAUGCCUUCUGCCUGGAAAAACAUGUGCAGACUUGCUCUAAAUAGUUCUUGAAGUCAAGAGUUAUUCUUUAAGUAGAAUGGAACUCUCUAUAUAAAGUUUAUAAUUCUUUUUGUACUUAUAUGAGCUCUUGGUGGUAUUUUAGAAGUUGUUAUAUUCUUUGGAUUUGAUUUAUUGGGAUUUUAAGUUUCUUUGUAAUCUAGCCUGGGAAUCUGUUUUCAAAACCAUAAUACAUAUACUGUAAUGUAAUGUAAUAUAAUAUAAUUAAUAUAAUGUAAUAUAAUAUAAUGUAAUAUAAUAUAAUAUAAUAUACCCAGAUAGCAGCAUCUGGCUUCCCAUUUCAUUAGAGUUGCUUAUCUGUGAACAGGGCCAGCAGAUUUUCUGAUUAGCCACUUUAUAUUUUUUGUCAUAAAUUUAUUCAGGGAAAUACCUCACGGAUUUGCUGUCGCUUCUUAAAAUACAUUCAUGCCUGACCUAUUUCUCUUUCCAGGCAUUGCA